GUAAUAGACUGAAUUGUUUAUCUAGAGCUUGUAGAACGUAGUUUUAAAUAGAUAUGUUAGCAUUGGUGAGAAAGUUGUGUACUGAUUCGAGAAAUUUAGGGUGCAUGCGACUUAGCGAGAAGCGCACGGAUUGGAAUAGAUAUCCUAAGUCCCAGGCUAAGACGGAGAGCACUGUAUUGAACUCGAUUAAGUUUCGAGGAGAAGGGUUGAGGGGUGCGCACCCCACCAUGUGGACCUAAGGGCUUUGAAGAUGUUAAGUGAUCUAUUGCAUCUCUUAAUGGUUUUUCUAAGAUGGAGAGAUGUAUAAUCCUAAACUUUCCAAGUAUUGGCAGAUGGAAGUAACACUAGAUUGAACUGCAUUGAGACAGUCGGCUAAGUUUUUGGAUUUCGAGAGGAUGAGAGCAUCGUCAGCAUAUUGCGUGGAAAUACAAUUCGGAUGAAGCUCGAUUGCAACGUGAACAUUAUGAUUGCGAACACACCUAUGACAGCUGCGUUCUAAGAUCAGCCGAGAGUGCGCGAACAUCGUUGCCUCGGUUCAUUUUCGAACACACUUGGCCAAUUCAGGAUUGGUCAAUUCCUUUAGAUCAGCAUUAACUAAACCGGUUCCAGACCGCCGUGUAAACGUACUUUAAGGCCUGUUAUCUUCUGCGCGCUUCAAUGUAUAAACUACGUUUAUUUUCAAAAUACAAGUAUCUGAUUGGCUAAUAGCACAGUUAAGCCGAGUUUAUGCAUUGAACCGCGUCGAAGAAAACGAAGCGUAAAUCUGUUCAAGCCGCCGUGUA